rnacentral:rRNA from 1 species
CCUACGGGAGGCUGCAGUGAGGAAUAUUCGUCAAUGGGCGGAAGCCUGAACCAGCCAAGUCGCGUGAGGGAAUAAGGCCCUACGGGUCGUAAACCUCUUUUGCCGGGGAGCAAAGGCGGGGACGUGUCCCGGCCCGGAGAGUACCCGGAGAAAAAGCAUCGGCUAACUCCGUGCCAGCAGCCGCGGUAAUACGGAGGAUGCGAGCGUGAUCCGGAUGUAUUGGGUUUAAAGGGGCCGUAGGUUGUUUUUUAAGUCAGCGGUAAAAUGUCGGGGCUAAACCCCGGCGGGCGGUUGAAACUGGCGUGCUCGAGUGGGAGAGAAGGAUGCGGAAGUCGUGGUGUAGCGGUGAAAUGCAUAGAUAUCACGAAGAACCCCGAUGGCGAAGGCAGCAUACCGGCUCCACACUGACGCUGAGGCACGAAAGCGUGGGUAUCGAACAGGAUUAGAUACCCUUGUAGUC